UUUGUUUUUAUAUUUUUUUAAAUAUUUUUUUCUUUUUUACUUUUAGGCUUUCAGCUCGUCACCAAUUUUUCUUAGAAGAAUGUUAAAAUAAUUAAAAACUAAAACAAAAUCCUUGGCUUUUCGUGUAUUCUAUGUAAAUGUUUGUUUUUACGAUUGAUGACAAUUUGUUUCUAACAAUUUUUAAUAAAAUUUUCAGUAAAUUAAUUUAAAAAAAACGAAAACGAUCGUUGACUACGUCAACAUUUAUAUAAUAAAAAAAUAAUACCCGCACCGUUAUCUAGUUGUUUAUUAUAUGGCGGCAAAUAACCAUUUUUUUAAAUUAUGCGAGACAUUUUGAACAACGAAAAAUGCAUCAUCAAGCUUACGUUUUUGAUUUAACACUCACCUAAACAAACAUUUUAAGUGUUUGUCUAACGUUAAGCAAAAACCCUUCAAAAGUUUGAAUCGUUUCAAAUUAUUAAAUCGAAAAUAGAGAAAAAAAAUCGCGACGUCCCUAUUCGAAUGAGAGAUAUUCUUCUUGAUUGAUGCAGAAUCAUAAUAUCUUAAAAAAAACAUUUUCAAUCACAUGACGUGAUUCACUCGGAAUCAAUAUCAUCUCUCUCCAAAAUACGGUACUUUCAAACGUGACCUCACUUUAGUUUCGUUAAAUGUCUCGUUCAUUUGUAUGAGAUUUAUUUUAACGUGGAUGGCAUUGCUUACGAGGAUGCCAUUACAAACGCACUUCAAUUCGAUCAUACAUCGACGAGAAUUUAUGUGUGUAAUAACGUCGACGAGACGACAGAUAUACUAUUUUCAAUCAAUCGAUUCGAUGAAAACGCGCCAAAUUUGAAUGAAUUUUCGCCUACCAGGGAAAAAUGGAACCAUUUUCCGUAAAUUCGCAUCGAGAAUUGAUUAGGAAAUUUGCCCACAAACAACAGAUUUUAGUUUUGUGUUGAACAACGGUUUCGGUCCAAUCAAAUGAAUAAAUAAAACUAAAAUCGUUGAAGGAUGAUGAUCCGAAGUCUUUGUUUUAACGAUAAAACGUGUUCUCUGAACAGUAAAAUUAAAAUUUUUUUCUUUGUUUGGCUUCGAUCUUUAAAGUCUUCGGAUGGACUGGCUCGGUAUAAUAGUGAGCCACCGAGUGUGUACAUUGUUGAUACAUAAAAAACGUUUUAUCGUCAAAAAAAGAAAUUGAUUCGAAUGAGCUUUAUGACUUAUAAUUAGUAUCUAAUGUAUAUGGAGAUGCGAGUGCGGAUAUUUUCUCUUAAAACAAUAAAACAAACAAACAAAAAUGUUGUGAUUCUCUUUUUCAGUUAAAAUGUGUUGCAUAAUAUAGGUGAUGGAGGGGGUUGAAGGGAUGAGGAUGAGGAGUGAGGAAAGGGGUGGGAACAUUGAACAUUAAAUAUAUUCUUUAUGUUUUUUCUUUUAUUUUCUUGUAAAUAAUAUUCUCUAUA